ensembl:lncRNA
UCCACCACCACUAACAUUCUCGCAUCGUCUCGUCAACUGCUGAUGCUGAUGCAUGUUGUGAUGUCAUAAUGAAGAACAAGACAAAGUUCCAUCUCUGUUAUUGUGACCAUGUUUCAUUCUACAGCAAGUUUCACAUUCACAGUUUCAUUCUACAGCAAACAGUCAGCACGAACAGAAUUACAGAUUAAGAAGAGUUAAUUUAACAAAGCAGCGGAGGAGAUAAGGAGGGGGAGUAGUGUGGAGGUUAUGGAGACAGAGGGAAAGGACGCUGGGCAUCAGGAUGUCUACGAAAGCCUCGAAAGGCAUCAGGAUGGUGUCCCACUUGACUCAAUGCCCGUCACACAACAGGCGGGCGCCCAACAAAUGGAAGAGGAGAUGAGAAAUACCUACGAAAGCCUCGGAAGGGCUUUCAUGGCUCACUUAGAGGCCCAUAGCGGGCACUGUGAGGUCAUUGCCCAGGACACACUGCAACGAUUCACUUCGGAUCAACAUACCCAUUAUCAAAUGGGUGGAAACAUCCAGAAGGGAAAUCAUCUGGUUAUGGAGUUUUUUAAUGGCAAGAGCUUGCAAGAGUACUCCAGAGCGAAGAUGGAGAGAGACCCCUUCAUGAGGAUGGAGAUGAACAAGUGGAGAGCAGAGAUAGAGAGAAAGAGGGAGAUGGAGAGAGAAAGAGCGGAGCUGGAGAGAACAAGGAAGGAGGUGGAGAGAAAGGAGAAGGAAGUGAAGCUAAUAAGAGAGGAGAUUCUAAGAAAAGAGGAAGUGGUGAGGAGGAGAGCAGAGAUGGAGAGGGAGAGACAGGCGAUAGAGAGAAACAGACAGGAGAUUGAGAAAGUGAGAGUGGAGGCAGAGCAAAAAAGAAAGAAACAGGAAAAAAGGAUAGAGCAGAUGGAGAGAACGAUAGCAGAGAUUGUGAGAAUAUGGAGGGACCAAAAGAAAAGGCAGACAAAAAAUGAAAAGGAACAUGCAUGGCUUGUGGAGAGGAGGAGUGCAGAGAUGGAAAGAUACAGAGAAAUGGAGAGGGAGAGACAGGCGAUAGAGAAAAGAAGACAGAAUAUUGAGAAAGUGAGAGUGGAAACAGAGCAAAAAAGAGAGGAAGAGGAAAGAAGGAUAGACAUGGAGAGAGCUAAAACAAAGAUGGUGAGAAAGAGAGAGGAGAUUGAGAGAGUGAGAGUGGAGAUGGAGCGAAUAAGAGAGGAAGUAGAAAUUGAAAUACACAAAGACAUGGAGAAGGAGAGACAUGAAGACCAGAGGCAAAAAGAAAAGGAGAGACAAAAGGGAAGUCGGAAAAUACAGGAGGAGACCUCCCAGCCAUGGAAGUCCAUGGGACUAUCCUUUGAAGACAGUGAGGAUGGAUCAGAAGAAGACUGGAAAGAAACUGAGAAGGAGAUGAAAAGGAGGUGGGAGACUCUGUCAGGAGAUGACACUGACUCUGAUGACUCUGAUGACGUGUGGAUGGAUGAGGUGGAGAGACAGGCGGUGGAGGUGGAGCUCAUAACAGAGGAGAUUCUAAGAAACGAGGAAGUGGAGAGGAGGAGAGCAGAGAUGGAAAGAUACAAAGAAAUGGAGAGGGAGAGACAGGCGAUAGAGAGAAAGAGACAGAAUAUUGAGAAAGUGAGAUUGGAGACAGGAAGACAGGAAGAGGAAAGAAGGAUAGAGAUGGAGAGAGCUAAAGCAGAGAUGGUGAGAAAGAGAGAGGAGAUUGAGAAAGUGAGAGUGGAGGCAGAGCAAAAAAGACAGGAAAGAAGGAAGGAGGAGAUGAUAGCAGAGAUGGUGAGAAAGAAAGAGGAGAUGGAGAAAGCAGCACAGACGGAGCAAAAAGAGGACGAGAGGAGAAAGAUAGAGAUUGAGGAGGAGAAAGUGAGACUGGAGACAGAGCAAAAAAGAGAGGAGCAGCAAAGAAGGAUGGAGGAGAUGGAGCGAAAAAGAGAGGAAGCAGAAAUUGAAAUAAACAAAGAAAUGGAGAGGGAGAAACAUGAAGACCAGAGGCAAAAAGGAAAGGAGAGACAAGAGGGAAGUGAGAAUUCAGGAAAAGAAGAGAAGGAGAAGAUGGAGAAGAAGGAGGAUGAGAAAGUCAAAGAGCCACAGACGAGAGACGAGAGGAACACAGAUAUGAUGCGGGAAAUAGAGGAGGAGACCUCCCAGCUGUGGAAGUCCAUGGGACUAUCCUUUGAAGACACUGAGGAUGGAUCAGAAGAAGACUGGAAGGAACGUGAGGAGGCCAGUGUAGACCUAGACUUGCUCUUCCUGAAGGACAAUGUAAAGACUGACAUAGAUAGAGGAAAAGAAAGGAGAUUGGAAGAGGAGAACAAAUCAAGACAGCUAGAAGUGGAGACACAGAGAGAAAUUAAAACUGUGAGACUGAAAGAAGAGGAGAGCAAGAGGAUAGCCAUGGUGGAAAAACUGAAAGAGGACGAAGGGAGGAAGAGAGGGAUGGAAGCAGAAAUGGAGAGAAAGGAACAGGAGGAGAGGCUGAGAGAAAAGGAAAGGACAAAACUAAGAGAAGAGGAGAGAAAGAAAAAAGAGAUGCAAGAGAAGACAAAGAGAGAGCUGGAGCAGAUAACACAAAGAGAGAGGGAGGAGAAGGGGAAGAAAGCCAAAGUGGCCAAGAAAUUAAUCCAGGCACGUGACAGCGAUGACAUUGACAUAGAGAGCUUGAGUGAUGAAGAUAUGUGGAAGGAUAAGGAGCUCCCAAUGGACCAAAAGAAAAGUCAGACAAAAGACGAAAAGGAACAUGCAUGGCUACAGGAAAAACACAACAAAGAGAAGGAGGAUGAGAAUCCUUGUAACAGGGAUUGCAGUGACCCCAAGACUGUGACUAAUUCAAAUAGUUUGUGGAUGCAUAAGGCCAAGAGCCCAAAGCUGUCAGUCAACAAUGCAUGGAAGAUCCAGCAAUAUGAUAAUACAGAGACGGAUAAUGUCAAACAAGGUCAUUCUGAGGCAGGCGACACACUUGUGACGACACUCAGUAAUGAUGAUAUGAAUACAUGGACCCAGCUGAAGGCAAAAACAGAUGAAGAGGAUGCAGAGAGAGAGAAACAGAGGCAGAUGGAGGAAAAGAGGAUGAGAGAGGUGGACAAUGGAGGAAAGAAAGAAGAGAGAACACAGAGAGAGAUGGUAGCACAGAAAGCAAACAAGACACCCAAGAUGAGCAGAGAGUUCGAAAUUGUCCAAAAGAUAGAGGAGGAAAGAAAGAAAGAAGAGAUGGAGAAAGCAGCACAGAAGGAGCAAAAAGAGGACGAGAGGAGAAAGAUAGAGAUUGAGGAGGAGAAAGCACGAGAGGAGGAGAUAAAAGUGAUGACGGAGCAGAUGGAGAGAACUAAAGCAGAGAUGUUGAGAAAGGAAAAGGAGGAGAGCCUGAGAGAAAAAGAAAGGGCC